AAGGCAGGGUAACCCUGAUGAGCUACUAAUUGCUGUAAUUGGUUCCAGCAGGGAAACCAGCCCACGUGCCCAGGGCUCUGUGGUGAGGACAGGGACUUGCUAAGAGGGUUCCCUGGAGGUGGUGUGAAAUUGCAAACAGGAGGCCAGGACUUGGUGUCCUGGUAGGGCAGCACUGUUCCUGUAGCCCGUGCUUUAGGAUCUAGGGAAGGAGCAGAGGAGGUUUUAGCUCAAGCCUCCAGAAAUUUGGGCAAUGGAGGCAGCUGCCGUCGGCAUUGGAAACGUACAGUGGAGAUUUUGGCAACUGAUGUCCUGAGUAACCUUGGCCAAGUCAUCUAAAGGGGAUGAAGGGUCCCUGCCGUGCUCUUGGUUUGCUUCCCUCGCUGAAGAGCUGCCUCCUGCCUAAGAAAAACCAAACUCUGGAGAAAGGCGCGGUUCUGUAUGCUGAACACUCCCGCUGCCCCUGUUCUUGCCCUCAUUUGGCAGAAGGGAAGCUGAGGCAGUUUACCCCAGCACGCCCAGUAGCUGACCAGGACUGGAGCAGCACAGCUCUGCCAGACCCCACGCUGCCCUGCCUGAGCCCUGAGGAGGGCAGAAGAUGAACCAGGGACGUCUGCAGAGAAACUAAGAACAAAACCAGAUGCGGGCACAAGUGAGGGAACGAGUGAGGGUGGGAAAUAAACCGGGCAAUGAAUUCUUGCUUGGACCGUAAAAUAAAACCUCUAGGAGAUGCUUAAAGAAGGUGGGAUGGGGAAUCUUAUUUUAAGCGGCUUGGUGGCUUUUUAGCUCAAACAGGAGAGGAAGAUGAUGGUGCGAUCCGAGCCACAUCUGCUUGCCUCCGUGGCAAAAGGCUUUGUCCUGCUGUCUGCUCGGAAAUACUUUUAACCGAGUCACGAAGUUGAAGGCUGUGAUUUUUACUGCUCACAGGAUAGGAGGGAUCUGCCACCGUCUGACGCCCGGCAGGGCUUCCUGAGUGCUACCUUCGGCCUCGCUGAGGGAGAGACCCCUUUUUCCCCUGUCCGCCCCCAAAAUGCCAUCCCUGCCCCGCAUCCCUCGUACCUGCGGGCAGCCCCGAGCUCUGCGCGUCCCUUUCCGCUCUCCCACGGGGAAAUCAAAUCAAAUACAAAACAAAAGCUUGCUUUCCUUACCCAGGAGGCUGCACAGUAGCAAACCGGGGGGGUUGGGGCAGAGCAGCCCCGGCUCUCUCCGUCGCCGCGUCCUGGCCGCCUCGGAGCGCUUUUCCCAGGGAAAAACUCAACGAAAGCCGGGCAGCGGGGGGGGCCGGGGGGCAGGCUUACCUGCUCUCCUGCCGGCGGCCGGCCGCGGGAUAAAACUCGCCCUGCGUUUGGCCGGCGGGGCUCGCUUUAAUUUCCCCCCUGCUCGGAAAACGGAGCUGGAAACCGAGCGAGCGCCCGGGCGGAUCGCGCGGCCCUCUCGGGAGCGGGUUUCCCCCGGGGGCCUCGCUGCCCAAGGCACCCCCGGCGAGGGGCCGGGGGGAUUUGCCCGUGGGAGACGGGUCCCGGGUUCCCCCCCCUCCCCCCCAGCGGAGGGCCCGGCUGGGCCGGCCCGGGCUCCGCACGCCCCCGGGGGUGGGCAGGGGGGCGGCCGCCCUAUAUAUUGCAAAGCGGCUCGGGGCCCGGCUCCCCAUCGCCGGGAGCUGCCGCGGC